rnacentral:tRNA from 1 species
GAUAAGAUGGCUGAAUUUAGGUUAUAAACUGUAAAUUUAUAUAUGGGUGAUUUACCCUCUUGUCA